ACGUGCACACACUCAGGUGCGCACAGACUCACAUGCACACACAGAAACACUGCACCACUCCCAGUGAGUACCUGACUUCACCACGGUGCCGUUGCCCACAAGUGACCCCGGUUGUGCCAUGUGGUUGUGCCAGUGCCCCUCCCG